rnacentral:rRNA from 1 species
AUGGGGACAGAACAUAAGUAUGGAAGUGACUGAAUUCACGCUGGCGAGAAAAGCUGCUAUCGAGCAGAAGGGUACCCGUACCGCAAACCGACACAGGUAGGCGAGGAGAGAAUCCUAAGAUGAGCGAGAUAACCCUUGUUAAGGAACUCGGCAAAAUGACUCCGUAACUUCGGGAGAAGGAGUGCCACGAAAGUGGUUGCAGUGAAGAGGCCCAUGCGACUGUUUAUCAAAAACACAGGUCUGUGCUAAAUCGAGAGAUGAUGUAUACGGGCUGACGCCUGCCCAGUGCUGGAAGGUUAAGGGGAACUGUUAGCGCAAGCGAAGCAGUGAACCGAAGCCCCAGUGAACGGCGGCCGUAACUAUAACGGUCCUAAGGUAGCGAAAUUCCUUGUCGGGUAAGUUCCGACCCGCACGAAUGGCGUAACGAUAUGGGCGCUGUCUCAACAAGGGACUCGGUGAAAUUGUAGGGCUGGUAAAGAUGCCAGCGACCCGCGACUAGACGGAAAGACCCCGUAGAGCUUUACUGUAGCUUGGUAUUGAGUUUUGACAUUAGAUGUACAGGAUAGGUGGGAGACUGAGAAGUGAUGGCGUCAGCUGUCAUGGAGUCGCCGGUGGGAUACCACUCUUCUGAUGUUGGAAUUCUAACAACGACCCGUGAACCGGGCGUUGGACAGUGCCAGGUGGGCAGUUUGACUGGGGCGGUCACCUCCGAAAGAGUAACGGAGGUGCCCAAAGGUCUCCUCAGCAUGGUCGGAAAUCAUGUGUUAGAGUGUAAAGGCAUAAGGAGGCCUGACUGCGAGACUGACAAGUCGAGCAGAGACGAAAGUCGGGCUUAGUGAUCCGGUGGUUUCGAGUGGAAGAGCCAUCGCUAAACGGAUAAAAGUUACCUCGGGGAUAACAGGCUAAUCUCCCCCAAGAGUCCACAUCGACGGGGAGGUUUGGCACCUCGAUGUCGGCUCAUCGCAUCCUGGGGCUGAAGUAGGUCCCAAGGGUAUGGCUGUUCGCCAUUUAAAGCGGUACGCGAGCUGGGUUCAGAACGUCGUGAGACAGUUCGGUCCCUAUCUAUCGUGGGCGUUAGAAGUUUGAGAGGAGCUGUCCCUAGUACGAGAGGACCGGGAUGGACAUACCGCUGGUGUACCAGUUGUUCCGCCAGGAGCACUGCUGGGUAGCUAUGUGUGGACGGGAUAAACGCUGAAAGCAUCUAAGCGUGAAGCCCCCCUCAAGAUUAGACUUCUCAUUCCUUAAAGGAAGUAAGACCCCUUGAAGACUACAAGGUUGAUAGGUCAGAGGUGUAAGUGCAGUAAUGCAUUUAGCUGACUGAUACUAAUAGGUCGAGGGCUUGAUCAA